AACGAACGCUGGCGGCAUGCCUAACACAUGCAAGUCGAACGAGACCUUCGGGUCUAGUGGCGCACGGGUGCGUAACGCGUGGGAACCUGCCCUUAGGUUCGGAAUAACUCCCCGAAAGGGGUGCUAAUACCGGAUAAUGUCUUCGGACCAAAGAUUUAUCACCUUUGGAUGGGCCCGCGUUGGAUUAGCUAGUUGGUAGGGUAAAAGCCUACCAAGGAGACGAUCCAUAGCUGGUCUGAGAGGAUGAUCAGCCACACUGGGACUGAGACACGGCCCAGACUCCUACGGGAGGCAGCAGUGGGGAAUAUUGGACAAUGGGCGAAAGCCUGAUCCAGCAAUGCCGCGUGAGUGAUGAAGGCCUUAGGGUUGUAAAGCUCUUUUACCCGGGAUGAUAAUGACAGUACCGGGAGAAUAAGCUCCGGCUAACUCCGUG
rnacentral:rRNA from 1 species